rnacentral:rRNA from 1 species
AGAGUUUGAUCCUGGCUCAGAACGAACGCUGGCGGCGUGCCUAACACAUGCAAGUCGUACGAGAAAAUCCGCUUCGGCGGGUGAGUAAAGUGGCGCACGGGUGAGUAACGCGUGGAUAAUCUGCCUUUAAGCGGGGAAUAACUUACCGAAAGGUGGGCUAAUACCCCAUAAAGCUAUGGAACUCCGGUUUUCAUAGCCAAAGAGAGCCUCUGCAUGCAAGCCCCCACUUAGAGAUGAGUCCGCGUACCAUUAGCUAGUUGGUGGGGUAAUGGCCUACCAAGGCGACGAUGGUUAGCUGGUCUGAGAGGAUGAUCAGCCACACUGGAACUGAGACACGGUCCAGACUCCUACGGGAGGCAGCAGUGAGGAAUAUUGCGCAAUGGGGGCAACCCUGACGCAGCAACGCCGCGUGAGUGAGGAAGGUUUUCGGAUCGUAAAGCUCUGUCGGGUGGGAAGAAAUGUAUGGAGGUUAACAGCCUUUGUACUUGACGGUACCGCCAAAGGAAGCACCGGCUAACUCCGUGCCAGCAGCCGCGGUAAUACGGGGGGUGCUAGCGUUGUUCGGAAUCAUUGGGCGUAAAGAGCGUGUAGGCGGCUAGGCAAGUCAGAUGUGAAAUCCCUGGGCUUAACCCAGGACGUGCAUUUGAAACUGCUUGGCUUGAGUAGGGAAGAGGGAAGUGGAAUUCCUGGUGUAGAGGUGAAAUUCGUAGAUAUCAGGAGGAACACCGGUGGCGAAGGCGACUUCCUGGUCCUAUACUGACGCUGAGACGCGAGAGCGUGGGAAGCAAACAGGAUUAGAUACCCUGGUAGUCCACGCCGUAAACGA